GCUGAGCUUCUCGUCUCUUUCUAGGUCAUUGAGAGCAGCACGCGCCGCGGAGCGCACUAAUUUUUCUGGAAUUCCGAGAAUCUCACGCACGGGCUAGGCCUAGAGCUCCUUUUGUUUCCAAGCGAUUGGUGGAUUUGUUUGGGGAAUCCAGUUCCUCUUAUGCCCGAAUUUUGUUGGCGGAAUCGGUUGGCCAGAGGAGCAAGGUUAGGGCAGUGACGGGAAGAGAGACUGAUCGCGAUGACGUCCCUGUCGCGGACGAUCUCCCUGGCCGGCCCGAUGCAGCCGUCGGGGCCUCGCCGGAUUCUGAGGACGCAGACCGCCGUCAACCUCGGCGAGCCCAUCUUCGACAGUAAGGUGGUGCCAUCGUCGCUCGUGGAGAUCGCGCCCAUCCUUCGUGUCGCCAACGAGGUCGAGGCGGCCAACCCCCGCGUCGCCUACCUCUAUUGGGUAGAUCGUUCGGUUCCAUAACACGCUCAUCCACGCGACACACGGAGGCAGACACAUUGGUCACCUGGAAGGCAGAGCAGGAGCAGCUGCGCAAGGCGGAGCUCGGGAGGACGCCGCGCCCAGCGGACCAUGGGACGGCGCGCCUUGGGGGCCGGUGGGGUGGCACGUCAUGGGUGCCGGCAAGCGCGGCUGCAAGUGGCUUCUAAGGUCUGAUCUACCUGCAAUAAUCAAUAAUGUAUUAAUCCUGCACUCAUGUAUCCAAAGUGAUAUUCUCACAAAUUACUGGAGUUUGGAUGCUC